UCGGAGUCGGUUUUUUUUGUAUUAUUUUCGAAUUGAUUUCAAAUGUUUUUCGUAAAUGAAAUGGUGGCUCUGAAAAGAGCCAUUUUUAUGCAGAAAU